rnacentral:lncRNA from 1 species
CUUUUCUAAGAUUUUCCUAUGUUACUAGAUGAUUAGGGAUUUUGAGUCUAACACUUAUGUUUAUGCCUACCAUAGUCUUCUAGUUAUAACAUUUUCAAAUUCUUAUCGCAUUUAAUGUUAUUUGAUUAAAUUUCAAAACAUGAGAGCAUUUAGACAUAAAAGUUUUAUUGAUGAUUUCGUCUUAACAAUCUAGACAUCUAAACUAUAUGACUAUUCUUACUUCAGCGUAGAGUUGUAGUUUUAUACGUUUACAAUUCUUAGUUGUUGAAGUGUCUUGCAAGUUUUAUCUCUUUUAUUGUUUUACCUUAUGCAUGCAAGUUAGUGGUCACAGUUGAAAUAUAUAGGAACAAACUAAUUAAAGUAUAAAAUGAAGAAAUGACUGAAAUAAUUAAAAGACUAAUAAAAGGCUGGUAUUUAAACACAAACAUAUUACAUGAAUGUAUAAGAUGAACUCCUAAGAUGAACUUCUAAGAAUAUGGAGACUCCCCUUGAUUAUGUGUUAUCCUAUUUUAUUUUAUCUUUUGGCGUACUCCCCCUGAGUACAUGCUCUUAGAUGCUGACACGUCUCUUUUCUCCCCCAUAUUUGAUAAGCAUAAAAAAGGAAGGAGAGAAAGGACAUCAUCGGCCGAUGCAAGAGUGGACAACACCUCAGUCCACAUCAUCUCUUACAGAUCACAUUAGAACAAUGAAACAAUGUGAUGAUGGAAGUGAAGGAGGAAGAGGUGGAAAGUCGAGAAGGGAGAAAAAGUGGGGAAGGGAAGGGAAAUGCAAAGAGAGGUGUGAAAAGUGAAGAAGACGAGAAAGAGAGGGAGUAUGCGGGGGGAUAAGAGAGAAAAAAGUGGUAUUUAGGUAAGGUAAGGGUCGACUAUGAAGGGUAUAAUUUAGGUGGAAGAACUACUUACAUGAGGUAGGUAAGUUCUAAAUACUAUAGUAGAAAAGGAUGUUGGAUUAUCAAGUUCAUCUUGGUCCGGUGAUUGAAUAAGAUGAUGAUGAUGAUGUUCUAGAGGUUUGGAAGAAGGAUUCAUUGGUUCGGAAUGUUGAGAGUUUGAAGACUAAGAGUUUAAGAGAGCGCGAAAGAGAGAAAGAGUUAGGUUUCUUUUGGAGGAGUGAAUGAGUUGAGAAUAUGAAGAGUAGAAUCGAGUUAAAUAGAGGGAAAAGUUAGUCAUGGGCAAUUGAUUUGUCUUGUCCAUUUAAUACGCUUAGUAUAGAUAGAUUUUGAAAAGAGAUAUAUAUCUCUUGAGGACCGAGAUAUUUUGGAUAGAGUGCUUGUCUAGUGAAUAAGAAUCAGAAUGGUGGCGGAGUAAGAGAAUUUGUCUUCUUGGGUGUUAACACCCUGGCA